rnacentral:rRNA from 1 species
GUGGGGAAUCUUCCACAAUGGACGAAAGUCUGAUGGAGCAACGCCGCGUGAGUGAAGAAGGGUUUCGGCUCGUAAAGCUCUGUUGUCGGGGACGAAUGUGCAGUAUUUGAAUAAAGUACUGUAAUGACGGUACCUGACGAGGAAGCCACGGCUAACUACGUGCCAGCAGCCGCGGUAAUACGUAGGUGGCAAGCGUUGUCCGGAAUUAUUGGGCGUAAAGGGAGCGCAGGCGGGAAGGUAAGUCGGUCUUAAAAGUGCGGGGCUCAACCCCGUGAUGGGAUCGAAACUAUCUUUCUUGAGUGCAGGAGAGGAAAGUGGAAUUCCUAGUGUAGCGGUGAAAUGCGUAGAUAUUAGGAGGAACACCAGUGGCGAAGGCGACUUUCUGGACUGUAACUGACGCUGAGGCGCGAAAGCGUGGGGAGCAAACAGGAUUAGAUACCCCAGUAGUCC